rnacentral:rRNA from 1 species
CAGUCGCCGCGGUAAUACAGAGGGUGCAAGCGUUAAUCGGAUUUACUGGGCGUAAAGGGCGCGUAGGUGGUUAUUUAAGUGAGAUGUGAAAGCCCCGGGCUUAACCUGGGAACUGCAUCUUAUACUGGGUAACUGGAGUGCAGUAGAGGGUAGUGGAAUUUCCGGUGUAGCGGUGAAAUGCGUAGAUAUCGGAAGGAACACCAGUGGCGAAGGCGGCUACCUGGACUGAGACUGACACUGAGGCGCGAGAGCGUGGGGAGCAAACAGGAUUAGAUACCCGAGUAGUCCCUGUCUCUUAUAC